ACUAGUGGCUUAUCGUUCUGUCAGUUAAUUCCCUCUCCCCUUCCUAAACCCUCGCCGCCCACUUCCGUCCCGCUCCUCGCACCUCCCCAAUCCCCGUCGCCGGCGCCGGCGCGGAGAAGAAACCCCGCCGAUGUCUCUGGCCCGCCUCGGCCAGUCGCUGGCCCGCCGCCUCCACCGGCCUCUCCACCUGCCUCCACCACCGCCGCCAGAUCACCAUGCCACCGUUUCCCGGCCUUUCGCUCCGAUCCACGCGAACACAUGCGUAAGAAGGCUUUGCAAGCUUAACAUACAAUGGCGGCGGCGUGAUUUCUGGCAAGUUUGGAGGGCCGUCGCAUGUCCACGCCGCGCAGGUUCUAGAGCUUGUAGUCCACCUAAAUCAUGCAAGACCAAUGUCGUCAGGAGCAGGAGCAGGAGCAGCCCCAAAACCACCAUCCCUGUCCGAAGGCGUUUCUUUUGGUGGUUGCAAGGUUGCUUUGAAAGUUGACAUGCCGAGCCCUGGUUUUGUUUUUCAGCCAUACCGUGCCCCGGAACCUAUCCCACUUUGGAAAAGAUUGAAUUCCAGUGCAGAUGUUCACUCUCUAUAAUUAAUUUGCCUUAGAUCAUUAUGUAUAUGGUAUUCAAUGCCCUCUCUGGUUGCUGUGGGGAGAUUUUUCUUCGCAAAACCGAUCCAUCUGUUAGUUGUCCAGAACUGGCCAUUUAAAAUCGAUGCCUAAGGUUCAAACUCACAGUUCCUUUAUUGAAUGCCCCAUAACAAACUUCCCCAGUGCAUGAUAAAAUCUUUAUCAUCAUCAUAAGUUCAUAACUAUUAUUUUGUGACUUAGAUUGUUUACACCAAGUGGCUGGAGUAGAACAAAAGAGGAUGUUAUUCUGCAGGUACUGGCUUUCUUGACUGGGAAAACUGCUGCAAAGAGAAAUGAAGUUCCAUUUUUUUUCCUUGUUUCAAUAUUUCAACCUUUGUUAUCUGGAGACAAAUUUGAGUACUGUUACCCUUCAUGUUUAGAAAUCUAAGAGGUUACUUUCCAUUGCUGGGAGCACAUUGGUUGUUUGACUGCAUUGGCACCAAUGCACCAACAUUGAGAGAACCAAGUCACAAUAGUUCUUAUUUUCAUGUGAAUAGAAGACACAUGAGGUAUUUAUCAUACUUUUAGAGUUGAUUUUGAUAUACCCUUUGAUAUAGGUGCAUGUUACUGUGUUCUUUUCUAUUUUAAAUUUCCAUAUUACAAUAAUGGUGCAAUACCACAUAGGAGGAAACCGUUUGGGCCUUUUACUGAUGGAUAUAUUGCUUACUUUUCAUCCUCAUCAAUAAUCUCUUUCUUGUAUUUGCUUGCUCCCUGUGUUGAUCAUAAGAUAUUUGACUUAAUUAAUGCUGUUUUUCUUUUGUGCUACCGUCUGUCAUGAAUCAUUUGCUGAGUUGUUGGGUUUUUUACUUGACAGUUCAUGAAUGCAUUUACUGUGUCAAGGUUGAGGAAGAAAAUCGGAUAUAACAAAAAACAGUUCCAGGAGCAAGCGUUUAAAUAUACAAGGAGUCAAGUUCGAUUAUUUCCUCUGAGUUUCGAAUGAAAAUGGUGUCCAGUCUUCUAUAUUAUUUUCAAAGCGGUAAUGCAAAUUGAAGUGCUUACUGAUAUUGCCAGGUAUGAUGGAAUUUGUAUGACAUGAAUUAGUUCGUGGAAUAACUCUCUCUACAUUGUUCACUUACCUUGGAUUCAGGUUAACAAGCUUAUUGCACGAGGAGACAUACCAUCUCUCCAGAAAGCUCUGACAGAUGCUAUGCAUUCUACUGUCAAAAAUGAAAUAAGGAAAAGACAAUCCAAGUGGAAAUCUGUACACUGGGAACUGGUGGAGCCUGCUGUAAGCAUAAGAACUUUGAAGGCUCGUAUGAUUGCUCUUGAUAAGAAUGACCUUAACAAAGCUUAUGUACAGCUUACGCUUGAGUUCAUCACUAAGCAG